GUGCCGUUGCUGCUGCUGCUGUUGCUGAUGUAGGUGAUGUUGCUGGCCGUCGCACAACACGGACCGCGUCAGGGAAGAAGGAUUCGGACUUAGGGAACUUGGCUCCUCAGCCGUGGUCGAGUCGUCGGGUACCUGUCGGACAUCAUCGGUGCUCUCGCGAGUUCCAGUUCCUUGGCGCCCGUGUCGACGUUCACGGAAGAUUUAUCACCGGUUUCAGUUUCACCCGUGCCGGCGUCGGUGAAACUCUUCGACAAGAAGAACCGGGUGAUGGUGUUCAAAUCAGGUGACGACACGGUUAGAGCCAGGUCCGGUAACUGUGUCCUCAGCAACUCCAUGUCCUCCACGGUCAACUGUAACACAAGCAACGAAUAAAAAGAACCCAAAAAAAUCGCGAGAAAGCA